CGUCUAGCUGUCGGGGGAACAAACGGCAGGGCUAGAGGAAAGCUGGUACUGUGGGAAAGUGUUGAGAUACCAGAAGGGGUGGCGAAGCUAGUGCCCCUACACGCAAGACUGGCGAGU
rnacentral:sRNA from 12 species